rnacentral:rRNA from 1 species
GAUGAACGCUAGCUACAGGCUUAACACAUGCAAGUCGAGGGGCAGCGGUAUCGAAAGCUUGCUUUCGGUAGCCGGCGACCGGCGCACGGGUGAGUAACGCGUAUCGAACCUGCCUCAUACUCGGGAAUAGCCUUGCGAAAGUAAGAUUAAUGCCCGGUGUUUUCAGAGUCCCGCAUGAGGCUUUGAACAAAGAUUUAUCGGUAUGAGAUGGCGAUGCGUCCCAUUAGCUUGUUGGCGGGGUAACGGCCCACCAAGGCAUCGAUGGGUAGGGGUUCUGAGAGGAAGGUCCCCCACAUUGGAACUGAGACACGGUCCAAACUCCUACGGGAGGCAGCAGUGAGGAAUAUUGGUCAAUGGGCGGAAGCCUGAACCAGCCAAGUAGCGUGCAGGAAGACGGCCCUCCGGGUUGUAAACUGCUUUUAGUUGGGAAUAAAACGGGGCUCGUGAGCCCCCUUGCAUGUACCAUCAGAAAAAGGACCGGCUAAUUCCGUGCCAGCAGCCGCCGUAA